UUUCCAGUCGUCCAUCUGCACUGCGGAGACUCCCAGUUGGUGGGCAGAGAGCGACAGGGUGAUUUUGUCAGUGCGGAGGUCGUGGAUCCUCACCCUGGAAGGCCCAAGAUGAGCGCAGAGAAGGGAAAGGGGAGGAAGGACACCUGCCCUGAGCACGAGUCCACUCUGAGGAAAGGUGAGCUGGGUCUGGCAUCUGACUGCACAGCUGUCCCAGAAAAAGACCCCAAGUCAGCUACCUAUGGAUGGAUACUUUCUAGAAGAAAGGGAUGUACCAAAAUACUGGCAGAACACACAGGCCAUGCAGAGACUAAUGAAACAGAUUUUCAAAUGUGGAACCAGACCGCCGGCUUGAGACCGAACGUACUUGCUGAGUCUCGGGCGCAGGCAGGAUAAACCCACAUAUAAUCAGGAAGCACCCUGAAUAGAUCACAAAGUAAAGCUCGACGCAGGCAACACAGGAAGGGUGCACUUCAGGACCAGAAGCUUUACAAUGACGGAGGGGAGAGUUUAGCAAAUAUUUGGUAAAACUGCCUUGGAAAAACAAAAAUCCAACUUACAUGGACCUGGUUUUGUAGAUUUUAAGUAAUUCUGUUUCUUGCGUCAUAAUGCACUCAGGUUUAAGCUGAUUUUCUUAAGUUUCCAAAUUUGAAGACCUAAGUGAAAUAAACCACUUUCUAGAGCAAUAAGAAUCACCCAAACCGACCCGCAAGGAUCGCAAAGGUAACAAUGAGCAGACCGAGAAGGCUGUCAAGGGAGCAACAGUCCUGCAAACAUGCUAAAUGGGCCCAUCCUGGAGGGAAGAGCCCAAGGGCCAGGCACGCUGCUCCACAGCCAGCAAGGGCAGAGGACAGCUGCCCAGGUCUGUCGGUGAAGCCAACAUUCUGUCCUCCCCAAAACUGAUGAUGAGAGCAGAGUAUCAAAAACAAUGCUAGAUCAGUGUCAGUACUCAGACCGGAAUAAAAUAUAGCAGAACCCCUUGAGGGUGUCCAUUAAUAUACUUCAAGUUACUACAACAAACCAUGGACUGCUGAAAAGAAAUGUGAUGAGAUUUACCUUCUUUCUUUCUUUCUUUAAGAUUUUAUUUAUUUAUUUGACAGAGAGAGAUCACAAGGGGCAGAGAGGUGGGGGUGGAGGGGGAAGCAGGUUCACUGCAGAGCAGAGAGCCCAGUGCGGGGCUCGAUUCCAGGACCCUGAGAUCAUGACCUGAGGCAAAGGCAGAGGCUUAACUCACUAGCCACCCGGACGCCCCUCUAAAGAAGGCUUUAAAAAACCUUUUACUAAUACUUCACAUUGUUUUUAAAAUUAGGUACAAUUAGAUACAAGAAAAAAUGAGAAGUGGACAAGUUUAUUAGAGAUGACAGUCGAAGAUAACUCAGUAAUAACUCAGAUCAAAUGAAAUUAAUAUGUCAAAAUCAAUAGCUAUCUUAGGUACAAACAACCACUAGUUUUAAAACAUGUACUCAAAGAAAAAAAUGCCACUUAUAAAAGCAAUUAAAGACAAUACCCUAUAAUAAAAUUUCUCAGCUUGGAGCUCUUAAAUUCUAGAUUUCUCAAAGAGUUAAAUAUAAUUAGCUACAAGAAUAUUCAGAAUUGGGGUGCCCUGGUGGCUCAGUGGGUUAAAGCCUCUGCCUUCAGCUCAGGUCAUGCUCCCAGGGACCUGGGAUCAAGACCGACAUCAGGCUCUCUGCUUGGCAGGGAACCUGCUUCCUCCUCUCUCUCUGCCUGCCUCUCUGCCUACUUGUGAUCUUCCUCUGUGUGUCAAAUAAAUAAAUUAAAUCUUUAAAAAAAUUUAAAAAAAGAAUAUUCAGAAUAGAGAAAGCCCUUCUAAACAAAAAAUACCUCAGAAGUCAAAAGGGAAAAUAAAAAAUCAAAAUCAAGGCAAACCAUAAACUGGUGGAAAUGUUUGCAACAGAGAACUGGCUAAUUUCUUGUUUAAAAAAAGUCCUUCAAAUUGAAAGUAAAGACUGGCAACCCAAUAUUACAAUAGGAGAAAAGCUAAGAAAAAAUAGUUCAUGGGAAGAUACUAAUGGCUUUUAAACAUGUGUGAGAUGUUCACUGGUAAUGAGAGAAAUUAUGAACUAAAAUUACAGGUGGUAUCCAACUGUACCUACCUACCUACCUACCUACCUGACAAAGGUCAAGUUUGGUAGUAAACUCUGUGAGACCCUCCAGGCUGGGGAGCCUUGGGCAGGCAGGGGAGCCUUGGGUACACCUCUGAGCACACCCUGUGGGGCAGGAUCUGGCAAUAAGCCAACGAACAAUACACUUGCCUUCUGACCUAGCAGCUUCGGUUCUAGGAAUUUAUCUACACUGUAUCUAACAUAUGUCUACAAAUACACACAUGGGCAUUUAAGACCAUUAGUUAUAGCACUGUUUUUAGUAGCAAAAGAUGGGGUUUCUGUUUCAGACAACUUACUGACCCUCCCACUGAAAAUCACUUAGUACUGCUGGAUAAACAACAGCCUUUAAAACGCACUGCUGGGUUCACAAAGCAAGCGGCUGCCCCAGGGCCCAAGCUGGAAAGCAGCCUGGACAGCCUGGGGUGGGGCGAGGCUGCUGGCAGGGGCCAACCUUAGGAACCAAUGGCAAGAUGGUAAGACUUAGGCCCACCCAAAAUAAGUGGGGUGGGAAAGGAGAGUCAAGACGUCUGCCUUUAAAAAAAAGGGCAGCCUCAUAAAACUUCUGGAAUGAAAACACCACUCCUGAAAUUAAAUUCAGAAUUUGUGGAUUAGACAAUAUUCUCAAAAAUGACCUAAAACAGAACACGAUAAAAAAUGUGACUGAGAGGGGCACCUGGGUGGCUCAGUGGGUUAAAGCCUCUGCCUUCAGCUCAGGUCAUGAUCCCAGGGUCCUGGGAUCGAGCCCCACGUCGGGCUCUCUGCUCCGCAGGGAGCCUGCUUUCUCCCCUCUCUCUGCCUGCCUCUCUGCCUACUUGUGAUUUCUCUCUCUCUGUCAAAUAAAUAAAAUCUUAAAAAAAAAAAAAAGUGACUGAGGGAUUAAGAGAUGCAAAUGAUAGAAGGGGACGGUGCACCGUGUAUCCAAAAGAAGUUCUAGAGGGAGAAACAGUACAGGGCAAGGAGGCAAUAUCCAAAUAGUUAAGGGCUGGGGUUUCUCUAGAAUUCAUGAGAGGCAUGCAUACUCACACUCCAGAGCACUUAUCAGAACGAGAAUUUCAUAUUAAGCGUAUCCUACCGAAGCGAGGAACACCAGAAACAGCGUUCGCAGCACGGUUCACUAGCUCUGGCACGACGGCAGCUCCGGGUGGCCAUCCGGCCGCCCCGGCGCCAUCUUUGCGGGAGGCAGAGCGGGGCAGGCCGGCAGUCCCUAAGCCACUGCGCCACGUGAGGCGCGCCGGCCUGGUGGUGUGACAGGUGUGGGGGUGAAGAAUCAAUGUGUGUGUGCUGUGUGUGAGCUGUGUGCGUACAGACAUCCUCCCGAGAACGCGGACAGGCAGUCGUGGCUGAGGAGGACCAGGGUGCUCAGGAAGAGAAGUGCCCAGAAGCCUGGCUUCUCUGUUGUACUUUUGAAUUCAAUUUUGAAUGUGUGGGUUGCCUGUUCAAGUAAAGUUGAAAAAUUUUAAGAUUUUGGGGGUGCCUGGGUGGCUCAGUCAGUUGAGCAUCCAACUUGGUUUCAGCUCAGGAUCGAGCCCUGCACUGGGCUCCGAGCACUGGGUGUGGAGCCUGCUUAAGGUUCUCUCUCUAACCUCCCGUGCCCCUUGAUGCCCCUCUCUCUUUAAAAAA